GCAAAAGGUAUUCUCCGGUAAUGACAUAGUGCAUUGAAAGCUGUUAUUGCUUGAGAAUACAAAUUGU
rfam:Ascaris suum AG00221, whole genome shotgun sequence.